rnacentral:rRNA from 1 species
UACGAAGGGGGCUAGCGUUGCUCGGCAUCACUGGGCGUAAAGCGCACGUAGGCGGAUUGUUAAGUCAGGGGUGAAAUCCUGGAGCUCAACCUCAGAAUUGCCUUCGAUACUGGGCGUCUCGAGACCGGAAGAGGUGAGUGGAACUGCGAGUGUAGAGGUGAAAUUCGUAGAUAUUCGCAAGAACACCAGUGGCGAAGGCGGCUCACUGGUCCGGUUCUGACGCUGAGGCGCGAAAGCGUGGGGAGCAAACAGG